rnacentral:rRNA from 1 species
GCUAACUACGUGCCAGCAGCCGCGGUAAUACGUAGGGGGCAAACGUUGUCCGGAUUUACUGGGUGUAAAGGGCGCGCAGGCGGGUCGGUCAGUCAGAGGUGAAAGCCCACAGCUUAACUGUGGAACUGCCUUUGAUACUGCCGAUCUUGAGUGCGGGAGAGAGAAGCGGAAUUCCAGGUGUAGCGGUGAAAUACGUAGAUAUCUGGAAGAACACCGGUUGCGAAGGCGGCUUCUUGGACCGACACUGACGCUGAGGCGCGAAAGCGUGGGGAGCGAACAGGAUUAGAUACCCUGGUAGUCCACGCUGUAAACGAUGAAUGUUAGAUGUCGGGGGAUUUUUCCUUCGGCGUCAAAGUUAACGCAUUAAACAUUCCACCUGGGAAGUACGAUCGCAAGGUUGAAACUCAAAGGAAUUGACGGGGGCCCGCACAAGCAGUGGAGCAUGUGGUUUAAUUCGAUGCAACGCGAAGAACCUUACCUAGGCUUGAAAUGUGUUCGAUCGGUCGUGAAAGCGACCUUCCUUCGGGCGGACACACAGGUGCUGCAUGGCUGUCGUCAGCUCGUGCCGCGAGGUGUUGGGUUAAGUCCCGCAACGAGCGCAACCCCUACCAUUAGUUGCCACCGGGUAAUGCCGAGCACUCUAAUGGAACUGCCUACGCAAGUAGUGAGGAAGGUGGGGGCGACGUCAAGUCCGCAUGGCCCUUACGCCUAGGGCUACACACGUGCUACAAUGGGCGCAACAAUGGGCAGCGAUACCGCGAGGUGGAGCGAAUCCCUAAAAAGCGUCCUCAGUUCGGAUUGGAGUCUGCAACUCGACUUCAUGAAGU